CUAAAAAUGGACAAAGUGUCAGAGGGAGUGAACGAGAGAAGGCUGAGUGUCAGCAGUAUUCACUAUGGCAUGACCAUGAGCCAUGAGCAGAAGACUGGGAGACCAUGCUGGAAGACUAGUGUUAGAUUCUACACAACAUCCAUUCAAUUUGAAGGAAUGUCCAGAGAGGACCUGGCUGGGGCUGCAGAGAAGCUGGCUGGGGUGCACAGGAGCUGACUGGGGUUGCACAGGAGGCAGCUGAUACCGUGGCUGCACAGGAGUGUGAAAGAUAGCUUCUCCUCUUCAGGGUGAGAAGCUCAGCCAUCUGGCAGGACCUCAGAGUGGAGCUGCUGCUCCUCUGCAUUGAGAGGAGCCAGUUGUGCUGGUUCAGGCAUCUGAUAAAGAUGCCCCCUGGACGCCCCCCUUUGAAGGUGUACUGGGAACGGUCAGCCGAGAGGGGACCCAGUGGCAGACCUAGGCUAGGACACACUGGAGGGGUUAUAUCUCCCAGUUGGCCAGGGAUCGCCUAGCCCCAGGAUGAGUCACGGGAAGCCGCUGGGGAGAGGGACAUCUGGGCUGCCCUGCUUCCCAUCAUCAAACAUACAAAGUUUGGAAGACUGCAUUC